CCGGAAAAACAUGGCGGAUUUUCAUGUUUGCUGACGCCAAUUGGUUCCUCCGGCUCAUGGCAAUUACCACUGACCAACCGCGAUCCUACGCUUGAAGUAAAAUCCUUCACCCCCCUGGUUUUCGGCCUUUUCUCGCCUUGCUUUGCUUGUUUAUUUUGAACAACAUCGACAGAGAAAAUUUCAAAAAUGCCUUCUUGCUGUAUUUUUGGUUGUCAUUAUUCCUUAUCUAAGAAGAAUAUUUCUUCUCACCGGUAAGAUUUUAUGAAACUCUUUUUCUGUUCUUUAUUCAUUUGAAAUAUUGCAUUUUUUUGAACAAGAAUUUUGGAUACAAUUUAACAUUUAAAUAUAGAUUUGAAAAACUGCAGCUGAUAUUUAUUUGUUUUUCAUUUAGUAUUAACACCCCUUUGUGUUUCAUGUUAUAUAAUUUACACUUUGUAGUUUUUUAAUAGUCUGUAAAGGCUUAUUAAUAGUAAUAUAAUUUAAAUAAUUUUCAUAUAAAUUUUACAAAUCAGGAAAUCCGAAAUGGAGCUAGUCAAAACCUUUAUGCUCUUUUGUAAUAGACAUCACUUGGUGCAUUUGUCUGAUGAAACCAAAAUUUACUGAAUAUUCGCUGUAGUUAUAGAGAUUUUUGAGAUGUAUAAUAUUAUAUGGUAGUUACGUUAGUUUACAAAAAAGCAAAUAAGUUUUAAGAAUUUAAUAAAGUACUUAAUAUGUAUAUGCAAGAAAGCUGUGACAUGUAAAACUAUAAAUAAUAUGAGCACUACAAAUUUAGUGACCAUAUAUUUUUAAAUUAAUUUACUUAACAGCUUUCCAGAUGCCAAAAGAAACCCCGAGAUGUAUGCCACUUGGGUAGCAAUUGUGAACAGGAAUGCACCAGUGAAGUUUGCCCCCACAAAAGGAAGUCGUGUGUGUUCCAAGCAUUUUAGCUUGGACAUGAUAGAAGAGGGUGGAGAAAGAGUGAUUUUAAAGCCGGAUGCAUUCCCAACAAUUUUCCCAAAUUCUGAGGUUUGUGCUAAUUUUUCCAUCUUUUUGAAGUUUGAUGUCCUGACA